CACAUCAGGUGAUUCAUGAUUUCCAUCAUCUUGCAGCUCCUGGUACCCCCUUGGUGAUUGACAUAGGAUACCACAGUGGAGUUGUCUGUCCUUAUCUUCACCCAUUGCCCCUUGAGAUGAUUCGAGAAGUGUUUCAAUGCUUUGAGGACAGCCAGAAGCUCUAGGCAAUUGGAAUGAACAUUGUUUGCCCUGAAACUCCAUUCUUCCUGCGCAAAGUCGUGGAGAC